rnacentral:lncRNA from 1 species
GCCGUGUUUCUCCCUCUAUGUGACACGCUAGUUCUGGAAGCCCUAGCUCUCGCGCUCGCGCCAAAGAGAAAUCUUCUUACUCUUGUUCUUCGCGUGCCUUGCUGUUGAUCAUAGACACAUAUAAAACCACAUAAAAAUUGAAAGAGAGGAAGCAAGCGAGAAAUAGAGAAAUCAUUAAAAAUUGGAACCCAAAUAGAAGUAAAGA